rnacentral:hammerhead_ribozyme from 1 species
AUUCAGAUGACGAGUCCCACACAGGACGAAACGCGCGUCAU